UAAGGAAUAUUGGUCAAUGGACGCAAGUCUGAACCAGCCAUGCCGCGUGAAGGAAGACGGCCCUACGGGUUGUAAACUUCUUUUGUACGGGAAAAAAUAUCCUGGUCGUGAACCGGGAUUGAUGGUACUGUAUGAAUAAGCAUCGGCUAACUCCGUGCCAGCAGCCGCGGUAAUACGGAGGAUGCAAGCGUUAUCCGGAUUCAUUGGGUUUAAAGGGUGCGCAGGCGGAAUGCUAAGUCAGUGGUGAAAUCUCCCGGCUUAACCGGGAAACUGCCAUUGAUACUGUCAUUCUUGAGUAUAGUUGAAGUGGGCGGAAUGUGUCAUGUAGCGGUGAAAUGCUUAGAUAUGACACAGAACACCGAUAGCGAAGGCAGCUCACUAAGCUGUAACUGACGCUCAUGCACGAAAGCGUGGGGAUCAAACA
rnacentral:rRNA from 1 species